CCUACGGGGCGCAGCAGUCGAGAAUCAUUCACAAUGGGGGAAACCCUGAUGGUGCGACGCCGCGUGGGGGAAUGAAGGUCUUCGGAUUGUAAACCCCUGUCAUGUGGGAGCAAAUUAAAAAGAUAGUACCACAAGAGGAAGAGACGGCUAACUCUGUGCCAGCAGCCGCGGUAAUACAGAGGUCUCAAGCGUUGUUCGGAAUCACUGGGCGUAAAGUGUGCGUAGGCGGUUUCGUAAGUCGUGUGUGAAAGGCGCGGGCUCAACCCGCGGACGGCACAUGAUACUGCGAGACUAGAGUAAUGGAGGGGGAACCGGAAUUCUCGGUGUAGCAGUGAAAUGCGUAGAUAUCGAGAGGAACACUCGUGGCGAAGGCGGGUUCCUGGACAUUAACUGACGCUGAGGCACGAAGGCCAGGGGAGCGAAAGGGAUUAGAUACCCCAGUAGUC
rnacentral:rRNA from 1 species